UUGCAACAAUACUUUAGGAGUAAUCAAUUACUGUACUAUUUAAUAUUUUGUUUUGUUUUCAACUUAUUUUACUCCGGAUAGCACUUUUUAAUACAUUUUAUACCGGAACUCUUUUGAAAAGAAGAUUUUCUUUUUAAAAUCGGCCAUUUUUAGAAGCGAUCUACACUUUUCUGCUUUUUGCUAAAAGGCUUUCACAUAUUCGUAACCAUGGUUCCAAGAGUCUAAGUUUAAAGUCUUCUACCAUUUUAUUCUGAGCUACUCCUUUUGGCUCAAAAGAUAGUGAGUUGUCCAAUGAUGAAAUAGAGAAAGUAAACAGUACCCGGGACCUAUCGGAUGUUGGUGAUGAAGAUUUGUCUGACGCAGUUGAAGAGUAUGCCCAUUUGCGAAAAAUGAUGAAACUCCUCAGGACCUUCUCAAUUGUCUACACCAAGGUCUUCAUUAGCAACAACAGAAUGAUCAGUCCUAGUAAACAGCAAAUGUUCCACCAUUUCCUGAUCCUAGGAGAGAAGCCAAACAUCAGAGGCGGCCAUUGGAUUAUUUCAACGACAUCUUUAUAGAUAAUCUGUGUUCGGACAGUUGUGUAUCAAUCCAACCUGUACUGUCCUCUAACAUGACAUCAACAGUCCUUUAGCACUGGAUAAAGAUUAUUCCUGGAAAUUAGAUUUUACAUAAACAUUGUAAAAAAUUCCUAAAUGCCGAGUGUAUUGGAGCCUUGCCACUAAGUGUGUUACGGUCACAUACGUCAUGACCAUCAACAGAUUCAAGCGGAUAAAGAAUAAUCUGCACCUGUCGUACAAUGUCCUCAACAGGACAAACAAUCCAUUAACACUGAAUAAGAAUGAGCUAAAACAUUUCCUAGAAAUUGUGUGUAUUACAUAAAGAUUCUAAAAACUCUUAGAUGCAGAGUGUAUUGGAGCCUUGCCACCAAGUGUGUUACGGUCACAUACGUCAUGACCAUCAACAGAUUCAAGCGGAAUAAGAAUAAUCUGAACCUGUCAAACAAUGUCCUCAGCAGGACAUAAAUCCACUAGUACUGGAUAAAGAUGAACAAAAACAUCUCCUGGAAAUUGUGUUUUACAUAAACAUUGUAAAAAAAAUUCUAGAUACCAAAGAUCUUGGUGCCU